AUUGAACGCUGGCGGCAGGCCUAACACAUGCAAGUCGAACGGUAACAGGAAACAGCUUGCUGUUUCGCUGACGAGUGGCGGACGGGUGAGGAAUGUCUGGGAAACUGCCUGAUGGAGGGGGAUAACUACUGGAAACGGUAGCUAAUACCGCAUAACGUCGCAAGACCAAAGAGGGGGACCCUCGGGCCUCUUGCCAGCGGUUGUGCCCAGAUGGGAUUAGCUUGUUGGUGGGGUAACGGCUCACCAAGGCGACGAUCCCUAGCUGGUCUGAGAGGAUGACCAGCCACACUGGAACUGAGACACGGCCCAGACUCCUACGGGAGGCAGCAGUGGGGAAUAUUGCACAAUGGGCGCAAGCCUGAUGCAGCCAUGCCGCGUGUAUGAAGAAGGCCUUCGGGUUGUAAAGUACUUUCAGCGGGGAGGAAGGGAGUAAAGUUAAUACCUUUGCUCAUUGACGUUACCCGCAGAAGAAGCACCGGCUAACUCCGUG
rnacentral:rRNA from 1 species